rnacentral:rRNA from 1 species
GAUGAACGCUAGCGGCAGGCUUAACACAUGCAAGUCGAGGGGUAUAGUUCUUCGGAGCUAGAGACCGGCGCACAGGUGCGUAACGCGUAUGCAAUCUACCUUUUGCAGAGGGAUAGCCCAGAGAAAUUUGGAUUAAUACCUCAUGGUAUGUGAGAAUGGCAUCAUUUCCACAUUAAAGUCACAACGGCAAAAGAUGAGCAUGCGUCCCAUUAGCUAGUUGGUAAGGUAACGGCUUACCAAGGCAACGAUGGGUAGGGGUCCUGAGAGGGAGAUCCCCCACACUGGUACUGAGACACGGACCAGACUCCUACGGGAGGCAGCAGUGAGGAAUAUUGGACAAUGGGCGCAAGCCUGAUCCAGCCAUGCCGCGUGCAGGAUGACGGUCCUAUGGAUUGUAAACUGCUUUUGUACAGGAAGAAACACUGGUUCGUGAACCAGCUUGACGGUACUGUAAGAAUAAGGAUCGGCUAACUCCGUGCCAGCAGCCGCGGUAAUAC